GCGGAAGUAGUUCAGCGGUAGAACACCACCUUGCCAAGGUGGGGGUCGCGGGUUCGAACCCCGUCUUCCGCU
rnacentral:tRNA from 3 species